GAAAAUACAAUGACUGAGCAAACAUUGCAACAUUAUUAGAAAAGAAAUUUAAAUAAAAUAAAGUGCUUUGCGCUAGAUGCUAAACGCACAUUAUUAUUAACUUCAUUCACCAGGUACGUAGCUGAGUCCCUCUAGUGGCAUAAACAUUUAUCCGGCUUCAGCAUGUUAUUAAAAUUCUAUUUUACAGCCACAUUAUAGCAGCAAAUUCACAGGUAGCUUUUUUGGACACUCCGAGGACUGUGGCAAAGUGAAUCUUGGAUUACUUACUGUGCAGGCUAGUGUUAAUGAAUGUAAAUUGAUUUUUAGCUGUGAGGGGCAAUUAUAGAUGCACUGGAAGAAGGGAAUUUUUGAAAGGACAUUGAAGAACUAAUUACUAUCAGUAAGAAACACGCAAAGAGCAACGUAAUACCCAGGACAGCCAAUAGGGAUAAAAGCUUAUACACAAAUCUCUCAUGACCUAGUAGUGAAGACUGUUUAAAAACACUGGUCUCCACUUAGCUUGUAAAUGUGCAUCACCCUCUUUCUCACUCAUAUAUUCUCUCUCUCUGACACACACACACACACACACACGCACACACGCUCCUGGAUUUGCAGAAGACAGACAUCUAGGGCACUUCUUGGAAUCCACAGGAAAAUCAUAUGGGAUUACAAAACCAGAGCAGAAUUGCUGAAAGCUGCCUCUCGAGGAUUGCAACUUCACCUUUUGCUUUUACGGAUGCUUGUUUACUAUCCUUGUGGUAACCUCUGGACAGCCAGUAAUCCAUUCAUUAUCCACACUGAUUGAGUGCAGGAGUAGUGCAGUGGUAACUACUUCACUCAGCUGACGG
rnacentral:lncRNA from 1 species